AACGUAGGUGGCAAGCGUUAUCCGGAUUUACUGGGCGUAAAGGGUGUGCAGGCUGCCCGUCAAGUGGUGUAUGAAAGCGCCCGGCUCAACCGGGAAGGGUUAUGCCAGACUGACGGGCUAGAGAGCGAGAGCGGGACGUGGAAUUCCGGGUGUAGUGGUGAAAUGCGUAGAGAUCCGGAGGAACCCCAGAGGCGAAGGCGGCGUCCUGGCUCGCAUCUGACGCUCAGACACGACAGCAUGGGGAGCGAACGGG
rnacentral:rRNA from 1 species